AGUAGAUCUAGUAGUUUUCCCCUCUUGUGCCAUGGGUCGAGGUUUCGGACGCGGAGCCAAAAGUGUUGCCAUCGUCACACACGCUCAGGCCGGCAAUGCUGGCAAGAAAACACCCAAAGGCCUCCGUGGAACCCGUCAACGCAAGCGCCAGAAGUUCCUCAAUCGCAAUAGCGAGCAGGCGCAACUAGAGGAGUCGCUAGGGCUCGCGAAGCCAGAGAAGCAUGCCCCGAAGAAUCUUGCUCAGGAGAUCGCUUCUAUUCAGUUUGCACACGUAGUAAAUAAGCGUGAGAAGGGUCUCAAGCAUCUCCGAAAGCAGAUCAUGGGAGCUGUGAAGAAUGUUCGCCGACUCCAUGCUGAUAAAGCUCGCAGAAAGAGCGAAAAGUAGCGCCUUCAGAUCGACUGCUCGCUUGCAUAGACCCCUCUGGUGCGCGCCAUAGCCAUCAGCUCCUCGGCAAAGAUCAUAUGCUUUUUUUUCUUGCAGAACCCCGAGACGCCGUUUGCUGCUGAAAAGCAUUCAGUAGCUUCUCAUCCUCGUGCUCAUUCUUGCUCUUCUUGCUUGUCAAACGAAGCUAACGGGUAAACAGCGCAAUGUCAGGAGAAAUUCCUGUGUCCUCGCGGUAAAGCGCCUACAAGAAAAAGCUUAAAAGUAAAAUGUCGCAACAACAAGCAAAGUUUCAUGCAAAACCUAUUGAAAUGUACUUUUUUUUCUUGU
rnacentral:misc_RNA from 1 species